UACGUAGGUGGCGAGCGUUACUCGGAAUUACUAGGCGUAAAGCGCGUGUAGGCGGGAGCCUAAGUCCGCUGUGAAAACCCGUGGCUCAACCACGGGCGUGCGGCGGAUACUGGGAUUCUUGAAUUCGGUAGAGGCAGCUGGAAUUCCGGGUGUAGCAGUGAAAUGCGUAGAUAUCCGGAAGAACGCCAAAGGCGAAAGCAGGCUGCUGGGCCGCAAUUGACGCUGAGAUGCGAAAGCUAGGGGAGCAAAC
rnacentral:rRNA from 1 species